rnacentral:rRNA from 1 species
GACGAACGCUGGCGGCGUGCCUAAUACAUGCAAGUCGAACGCUUCUUUCCUCCCGAGUGCUUGCACUCCAUUGGAACGAGGAGUGGCGGACGGGUGAGUAACACGUGGGUAACCUACCCAUCAGAGGGGGAUAACACUUGGAAACAGGUGCUAAUACCGCAUAACAGUUUAUGCCGCAUGGCAUAAGAGUGAAAGGCGCUUUCGGGUGUCGCUGAUGGAUGGACCCGCGGUGCAUUAGCUAGUUGGUGAGGUAACGGCUCACCAAGGCCACGAUGCAUAGCCGACCUGAGAGGGUGAUCGGCCACACUGGGACUGAGACACGGCCCAGACUCCUACGGGAGGCAGCAGUAGGGAAUCUUCGGCAAUGGACGAAAGUCUGACCGAGCAACGCCGCGUGAGUGAAGAAGGUGUUCGGAUCGUAGAACUCUGUUGUUAGAGAAGAACAAGGACGUUAGUAACUGAACGUCCCCUGACGGUAUCUAACCAGAAAGACACGGCUAACUACGUG